rnacentral:tRNA from 1 species
GGGCCUGUAGCUCAGUUGGUAGAGCAGCGCUUUUGCAAAGCGAAGGUCGCAGGUUCAAAUCCUGUCAGGUCCA